ACCCUGCUCCUGCGUGCUCUGAGCAAGGGUCCUGUCCAUCUCGUGGCUUCUGCGACCCAGUUGACUUCACAUCCGCGAUCGUGAGCCGGGGCGUGUGAAGGAUGCCAAGGUUUAGAGUGCUCGAGCCGGAUCUCAGCAGCCUGAGGUUCCCUUUCCCCAGCCUCCACCUUUUGAUUCAAAGGGAUGAAGUUGCUUCUCAACUACUUUCCUGUCCCAGUUCUCCGGACUCACUCCUACCCUUCUGGCCAAGGUGGACUGAAGAAACAGGAAGCCUGCGUCACAUGCCCUUACAGUGAUGAUGGUUUGUAAUUGGCCAGAAAUGAACCAGGAUUGUGUUGACAUGCCACUCACUGCUUGAAAUGUAAAUCCCUGGCUUGGAGUCUGACAAAUGUUAUAAAAUCUCUGAUAUUUGAUCGCCAAAUAUCAUAAAUUAUUCCACAUUGAGAGCUACACUUACAGUUACUGAGAUACAAUGAAGAAAAUGCCAAGAUGGGCUUGGCGAUAAGGAUUAUUACGAUUACCUUAACCGGAAUAGUAUUCAAGAGUCUGCUUUGAAAAGGGGUGAAUAGUGUCAACAGAAACGUUACAAUCCGGUCAGAUGUGUAUUGGAAGUUCUGGACUCUGGGGAAGAACAGUUCUACCAGAGAAACAGAAACAGAUCAGGCUGCCCACAAAGCCCCUCGCCUGGAUAGGUUAGAGGUCUCCAGACCCUCCAGCUCUCAAGCAUACAUUGCACCCUAUGAGCAUCCUGCCUGGACAAGUCCCUGCUGCAUGUUCUGCUGAACCUGGCUCACCUCUGCUGGCCAGGGAAAGAAAAGGCUGUUAGGACCAAGAUAGCUUCAAGUAAAGAGGAACGGCAGCAUCGGGUGUGUUCACCUCACUCUGCUGUAACAAAGGCGAUGGUCUUCUUGUGAUCCAUGCUUGUCAUGCUUGGACUUUUGUGCAACAGUUAAUGGGGUGAUUAUCAGAGCAGGUCCACCAUGACUGCCAAAAUGACCAAUGAUUUACAUUUUCAUGAAAUCCCUAGUCAGGACAUAACAUAUGGUGUUAUUCUGGAUGAAAUUUGCAAAGGAAUGAAAAUGUAAAGACAAUGAUAUUAAAUAUAAACAAACAGGAUCUGUACAUGUAUAGCUAGGUGUCUUGAUUUGUCUCUUAUGGAAGAGAACAAUUUAAGGACUGAAUUACACGACACCAUUUCAUCUCCUUGUGGUCAACGAAGAAGCUGUAAAUUAUACUGAAGACCAAGAGGGUGCCACAGCCAUGCUCUAUCUACUGAUGAGAUUUUAAGUUCAGUUUAUAGUUUAUUACCUUCUUUGUUUACCUUGGUAUUUAUAAUUGUAAAAUUACAUUAUAAAAUACAUUCACAUAAUUCAAAACUGAGUUUUGAAUUCAAAGCAUAAGUGGUAAAAAUUUAAUCACACACUUAAUUCUUUUAAUUUUCCUAACCUUGUGGCAGCUGAUGGAACUUGGAGCUUCCAGUUCUUCCCGCAAUAGCACAUGAACAAGAGAAACAGCCAUCAAGGUUUCCACUUUUUAAAAACUUGAGGUGGUCAUACAGUAUAUGACCUUCUGCAUCUUUAUCUAAAGUUACAUUUUUGAGAUUGUUUUUAUGUUAUAAGUGAAAAAUCUGUUUAGAUUGUACAGCAUGCAAUAUGUUCUUUCUUUGAAAAAAAAAAAA
rnacentral:lncRNA from 1 species